rnacentral:rRNA from 1 species
GCGCGAAAACUUUACAAUGCGGGAAACCGUGAUAAGGGAAUCUCGAGUGCCAGCAUAUAAUGUUGGCUGUCCAGAUGCCUAAAAAGCAUCUGUUAGCAAGGGCCGGGCAAGACCGGUGCCAGCCGCCGCGGUAACACCGGCGGCCCGAGUGGUAACCGCUUUUAUUGGGUCUAAAGGGUCUGUAGCCGGCCAAGUAAGUCCCUUGGGAAAUCUGGCAGCUUAACUGUCAGGCUGCUAGGGGAUACUGCUAGGCUUGGGACCGGGAGAGGUGAGAGGUACCUUGGGGGUAGGGGUGAAAUCUUGUGAUCCUCGGGGGACCACCAGUGGCGAAGGCGUCUCACCAGAACGGGUCCGACGGUAAGGGACGAAAGCUAGGGGCACGAACCG